CUCCUAUUGGGACCCCAAGCGCUGUCCCAAAGCCACAUCCUGGGCAUGGCUUGAUGGGUGCCCCAAAUCCCAUCCCAAUGAGAUCCUGUUCCAAUUGGCUCCCAUAUCCCAUCCCAAGGAGUCCCUAAAUCCCAUUGCGAUGAGCUCCCAAAUCCCAACCCUAUGGGCUUCAAAAUCCCAACCCUAUGGGAUCCCAAAUCCCAACCCUAUGGGCUCCCAAAUCCCAACCCUAUGGGCUCCCAAAUCCCAUCCAAAUGGGCUCCC
rnacentral:lncRNA from 1 species